ACUCUGCCUUGAUGAAGGUCUACCUGACCGAAAGCUUGCUUAAAUAAAGCCCUUCUUUUUUGCUACAGACCAGAAGUGUGCGGAUUGUUUCUCUUUUUUGACUUUAAAGUUUUUGCAAAUCCUGCACCUUCUCUCCAGAUUGAGCGGUGACCCUUCACUAUUUUACUAAUUCAGUUUUUAUAAAUACGAUGAAUUCUAUAUCAUUGAGGAGCAAUGCAUUUAAUCAUUUAAUCGCCACUUUUUAGCUGAUGGCCUGUUACCAAUGUUCCAUGACAGUACGAGAGGUGCAUGAUCGGAUAAUGUAAUUGGGAGGAUCUUUAUGUCAACUACUCUAUAAGAUUCUGCCUUGGGAGUAAAAAAAAAAGGUCUAUUCUGGAGAAUGAAGAAUGCCUAUGCGAGAAAAAGGUAAAGUUUUUGCCUUUAGGGUGUUUGUUUCUCCAAAUGUCCACCAAACCAGAUUCUGUCGAUAAGUACUUAAGCGUAUUGCUCAUUCUAGAAGUGUAGCUGCUAGACACAGGUUGUCUAUCCAAAUGUGGGGACGUGACGCAAUUAAAAUCUCCUCCCAACAGUAAAAUGCCAGAACUAUGCUGUAAUAGUAUGGAAAAGAUUGUGCGGAUGAAGCUCGGCUCAUCCUCAUUUGGAGCAUAUAUUGUGGUGAGACGCCUCCUCCUCUUGUUUUAUUAUUGGCUGGACUUCCUGUGUUUCUUUGUUUGCCUGGUUUGACUUGACUCUUUUCCAGAGCUCCCGCCCCUCCCCCGGUCGCUGAGGCUGAGUGAGACUACACACCUGCUCUACAUCUACAAUCAAGGCACUUUAAGAAGCCAGCAGCCCUCAGUCUCAGCGCCUGAGUAUUUUCUUCACUCCCAAGUGGUACAGACGUGUCUCCUGGCCUUCCUCAGAUAAUUACUUGCGACUUUUUACCCCCGUGAGCCCUUGUAUGUCUUCUCAUCUCCUUCUACUCUGUUUUCUCUGCAGUGUCUCCAGCCCACACAACAGCCAGCCAGCAAACCAGACUUUUUCCUUGUGCUUUGUUUCCCUGAGUUGGACAUUAAACACCUUUAAUUUGC